rnacentral:rRNA from 1 species
AGUGAACGCUGGCGGUAGGCCUAACACAUGCAAGUCGAACGGCAGCAGAGUGCGAGCUUGUUCUUACGGGUGGCGAGUGGCGGACGGUCGUGGGAUACAUCGGAAUCUGCUUUUUAGAGGGGGCUAACGUUGGGAUAAUUACGCCAACCUCCCAUACGAACUACGGGUGCAAGCUGGGGACCUUCGGCUCUUGCGUGAUCGCAUGCCCCGAUGUCGGAUUAGCUAGUUGGGGGGGUAAAGGCCCACCAAGGCGACGAUCCGUAGCUGGUCUGAGAGGAUGAUCAGCCACACUGGAACUGAGACACGGUCCAGACUCCUACGGGAGGCAGCAGUGGGGAAUAUUGGACAAUGGGCGCAAGCCUGAUCCAGCCAUACCGCGUGUGUGAAGAAGGCCUUCGGGUUGUAAAGCCCUUUUGUUGGGAAAGAAAGGCAGCAAGUUAAUACCUCGCGGUUAUGACGGUACCCAAAGAAUAAGCACCGGCUAACUUCGUG